AUUUGAAUCAUUCAGUUGGAGUUCUUAGCAGAAGAUGAAAUGAUCGAGAUAGUUCCAAACCUAAGAAUAAAGCCUCAGUUUGAUUUGUGGUGACUUUGGUCCGUUUCAGCCACAAAUACCUACUCAAGUCCCAAUAUGGUUGGCUGUGGCUUUGAAAAAGAGAGGGAAAUGCACUAUUCGCCCUCCAGAUUGGAUGUCUGUUGGUGGAAAAGUGGGGUCUGGUAGAAGACAGUUAGGCUACUCGGUAUGGUUGAUGGAGGAUGGGCCUCCACGUCAGAGCCACGUAGGAUGGGUGUGAGGAUGGGACAAAUAGGAUGGACCUAAGGAAAUGGGGGAUAGGCCUAAAACAUAUAUGUAUAUGUUGUAUGUAUAUGUGUAUGUGAGAAGAAGAUGAUGUGAAUUUUGUCCUUUAGCUCCCGUCCCAAUCGUCCCACUCCUGACGUUUCGGACGACGCCGAGCCACCCGGGACGGUGUUUGGGGGCGUCGCCGGGCCUGGACGACCCCCGCACCGAGUGCCCUUACGAUCUUGAUGUUGCAUACCUUAGUGCUAAUAUAAUUUGCUACGGUUUUCCUUGGUCUCAAAAAAGGUUUUGAAGUGGUGUGUAGAAUUACCAUUUCGCCUUUGGCUAUCAGUGUUGUUUUGCCAUUAUCAUUCAUUCAUAGAUGUUAAAGUUAAACCUAAGGAUCGAGUAAUAAGAGGCACACUCAUUAUUUGUUGCCCUUUUAUAGCCUCAUUUGUAAGUUCAAUGUUUAUAGUAAUGCUUCGCAAAAGUAGAAUUUGUUAUCGUA